AGAAGAUUGUGAGCAGUCUGUUCGCUUUUUCUACACAAGGGGAGAACAUUCCAGGCAGGAGGUACAGCAUGUGCAAAGGCUCAAGAGCAAGAGCAUCCCUGCUGGGAUCGCAGUGCCUGCCACUGCGGGGCAUAGCAGGCGCUCACCAGGCACUCGCUGGAGGAGUGAACAGAUAGAUGAAAUGAGAUCAUAGGUACAAAGGCCACAAGAAGUUCAGCCUGGCUGUACUGUAGCACUUAAGACAAGAAGUGGCAAGACAGGAGGCAAGGGAUUACAUGGCAGCCAGAGCUUCAGGGGACUUGUGUUUGGAUCUUUAUACAAAGAGCAACAAAGAGCCUUGGAAGAACUGUCUAUCGGGUGUAACUUGAUUAGUCUGUGUUUGGGAAGAUCAUGCUGCCUGCAGGGAGGGGCACAUUUUGGAGGUGAAUGAGACAAAAGGUCUUAAUCAUUGGUCAAUG
rnacentral:lncRNA from 1 species